rnacentral:rRNA from 1 species
AUGGAUAGGCAAGGCAUUUCAUCUCCGGUCUUCCACGACAACGACAACGCGAACAUCUACAUAACCAAAACUUCCAUCUUCGUACUACAACAAGCAAUGCAAGGCAUUGAGCGACUCUCCAUCGACAUUCGCCAAAACGAAGCAAAGAUAAGGUACUACCUCGACACCAAGUUGGCCAAACAAAGGGAUCAAGUACGAGACAUGGUGGCCAACUACAAGUCUUCUUCCCCUUCGUCAUCUUCAAGGCGACGACGCUCAAGUGGCCAAUCUCAGGAACGCCAUCGAGCUCAAGCACUACAACACCAUCAAGAUGAAGAUGCUCGCGAUGCGUACACCUACAAGUCCCAAAAAGCUCUACAUCAAGCUAUGGCCAAACUUCAUGAGCACAAGAGAAGACCGUGA